rnacentral:sRNA from 1 species
UUACUAUAAGCUGAACAGAAAUGAUUGGAAAAUAGUCGAUGCCAACGCAGAGGCUCUUGUUCUCGUAUGAGCCAUAGUUGUCUAUUGACUGAAGGUGGUGGAGAUAAUUCAACAAGAUGAUUUACAAUGUAAUUCAAGAGAUCUGUCUAGCCAAGAUCUCGCAGCGGACAGUAGAAAAUGGCAGUUUGAACUUCAGAUCAUUGUGUCAACCAUUUCGUGCAAACCACAAAACAAGGCAGUUUUAUCAAGAUCCACCUAAGAAUGAAAAAUACUAUAAGCUGAACAGAAAUGAUUGGAAAAUAGUCGAUGCCAACGCAGAGGCUCUUGUUCUCGUAUGAGCCAUAGUUGUCUAUUGACUGAAGGUGGUGGAGAUAAUUCAACAAGAUGAUUUACAAUGUAAUUCAAGAGAUCUGUCUAGGUUAGUUCAUUAUUUUUCUUGAAGAUUUCUAUGAUCAAGUCUAGAUUUUCUAGAUCUAGCAUCAUAUACAAUAAUUUCUAGAGAUCUAGUGCUAAGUCCUAUACAUAUGGGAUCUAGAUCUAAUCAAGAUCUAUCUAAAAUCAGAAUAA